GUGAUCGCUUACGCGGUAGGCCUAAACUUGCACGUCGAGCGGUAGCACCCAGAGCUUGCUCUCGGGUGACGAGCGGCGGACGGGUGAGUAAUGUCUGGGAAACUGCCUGAUGGAGGGGGAUAACUACUGGAAACGGUAGCUAAUACCGCAUAAUGUCGCAAGACCAAAGUGGGGGACCUUCGGGCCUCAUGCCAUCAGAUGUGCCCAGAUGGGAUUAGCUAGUAGGUGGGGUAACGGCUCACCUAGGCGACGAUCCCUAGCUGGUCUGAGAGGAUGACCAGCCACACUGGAACUGAGACACGGUCCAGACUCCUACGGGAGGCAGCAGUGGGGAAUAUUGCACAAUGGGCGCAAGCCUGAUGCAGCCAUGCCGCGUGUGUGAAGAAGGCCUUCGGGUUGUAAAGCACUUUCAGCGGGGAGGAAGGCGGUGAGGUUAAUAACCUCAUCGAUUGACGUUACCCGCAGAAGAAGCACCGGCUAACUCCGUGCCAGCAGCCGCGGUAAUACGGAGGGUGCAAGCGUUAAUCGGAAUUACUGGGCGUAAAGCGCACGCAGGCGGUCUGUCAAGUCGGAUGUGAAAUCCCCGGGCUCAACCUGGGAACUGCAUUCGAAACUGGCAGGCUAGAGUCUUGUAGAGGGGGGUAGAAUUCCAGGUGUAGCGGUGAAAUGCGUAGAGAUCUGGAGGAAUACCGGUGGCGAAGGCGGCCCCCUGGGACAAAGACUGACGC
rnacentral:rRNA from 1 species